rnacentral:rRNA from 1 species
UACGUAGGGUGCAAGCGUUGUCCGGAAUUAUUGGGCGUAAAGAGCUCGUAGGCGGUCUGUCGCGUCGGCUGUGAAAACCCGGAGCUCAACUCCGGGCCUGCAGUCGAUACGGGCAAACUGGAGUACUGCAGGGGAGACUGGAAUUCCUGGUGUAGCGGUGAAAUGCGCAGAUAUCAGGAGGAACACCUGUGGCGAAGGCCGGCCCCCUGGGCCCGGCCCUGA